CUUUCCCGCGCGACCGGCGAGGGAGGAAGAAGCGCGAAGAGCCGUUAGUCAUGCCGGUGUGGUGGCGGCGGCGGAGACUGCGGGCCCGUAGCUGGGCUCUGCGAGCAUAUAGGUUGCUGUAGAUGAAUGUUCUUAGCUGUCAUGUUUAAAAAUACUUCUGCUUCGUUACCUCAAGUGUGGCAUGCAGCAUUUUGGAAGGAAAAUUGAAGACUUGUUCAAGAAAACAUGAACAGAAGCAAAUGAUGAAAAUGAGCAUUUUACUUGAUGUUGAUAACAUCACAAUAAAUUAUGGAGAAAAAUAC
rnacentral:lncRNA from 1 species